CCUACGGGAGGCAGCAGUCGAGAAUCAUUCACAAUGGGGGAAACCCUGAUGGUGCGACGCCGCGUGGGGGAAUGAAGGUCUUCGGAUUGUAAACCCCUGUCAUGUGUGAGCAAAUUAAAAAGAUAGUACCACAAGAGGAAGAGACGGAUAACUCUGUGCCAGGAGCCGCUGUAAUACAGACGUCUCAAGCUUUGGUCGGAAUCACUGGGCGUAAAGCGUGCGUAGGCUGUUUCGUAAGUCGUGUGUGAAAGGCGCGGGCUCAACCCGCGGACGGCACAUGAUACUGCGAGACUAGAGUAAUGGAGGGGGAACCGGAAUGCUCGGUGUAGCAGUGAAAGGCGUAGAUAUCGAGAGGAACACUCGUGGGGAAGGCGGGUUCCUGGACAUUAACUGACGCUGAGGCACGAAGGCCAGGGGAGCGAAAGGGAUUAGAUACCCCGGUAGUC
rnacentral:rRNA from 1 species